GUGGGGAAUAUUGGACAAUGGGCGAAAGCCUGAUCCAGCCAUGCCGCGUGUGUGAAGAAGGUCUUCGGAUUGUAAAGCACUUUAAGUUGGGAGGAAGGGCAUUAACCUAAUACGUUAGUGUUUUGACGUUACCGACAGAAUAAGCACCGGCUAACUUCGUGCCAGCAGCCGCGGUAAUACGAAGGGUGCAAGCGUUAAUCGGAAUUACUGGGCGUAAAGCGCGCGUAGGUGGUUCGUUGAGUUGGUUGUGAAAGCCCCGGGCUCAACCUGGGAACUGCAUCCAAAACUGGCGAGCUAGAGUACGGUAGAGGGUGGUGGAAUUUCCUGUGUAGCGGUGAAAUGCGUAGAUAUAGGAAGGAACACCAGUGGCGAAGGCGACCACCUGGACUGAUACUGACACUGAGGUGCGAAAGCGUGGGGAGCAAACAGGAUUAGAUACCCCGGUAGUCC
rnacentral:rRNA from 1 species